GUCCCUACGGGGCGCAGCAGUGGGGAAUAUUGCACAAUGGGGGAAACCCUGAUGCAGCAACGCCGCGUGAGUGAUGACGGCCUUCGGGUUGUAAAGCUCUGUCUUCAGGGACGGUAAUGACGGUACCUGAGGAGGGAGCCACGGCUAACUACGUGCCAGCAGCCGCGGUAAUACGUAGGUGGCGAGCGUUGUCCGGAUUUACUGGGCGUAAAGGGAGCGUAGGCGGACUUUUAAGUGAGAUGUGAAAUACUCGGGUUCAACUUUGGUGCUGCAUUUCAAACUGUAAGUCUAGAGUGCGGGAGAGG
rnacentral:rRNA from 1 species